GAUGAACGCUGGCGGCGUGCCUAAUACAUGCAAGUCGAGCGAACGGACGGGAAGCUUGCUUUUCUGAUGUUAGCGGCGGACGGGUGAGUAACACGUGGAUAACCUACCUAUAAGACUGGGAUAACUUCGGGAAACCGGAGCUAAUACCGGAUAAUAUUUUGAACCGCAUGGUUCAAAAGUGAAAGACGGUCUUGCUGUCACUUAUAGAUGGAUCCGCGCUGCAUUAGCUAGUUGGUAAGGUAACGGCUUACCAAGGCAACGAUGCAUAGCCGACCUGAGAGGGUGGUCGGCCACACUGGAACUGAGACACGGUCCAGACUCCUACGGGAGGCAGCAGUAGGGAAUCUUCCGCAAUGGGCGAAAGCCUGACGGAGCAACGCCGCGUGAGUGAUGAAGGUCUUCGGAUCGUAAAACUCUGUUAUUAGGGAAGAACAUAUGUGUAAGUAACUGUGCACAUCUUGACGGUACCUAAUCAGAAAGCCACGGCUAACUACGUG
rnacentral:rRNA from 1 species